AACGAACGCUGGCGGCAGGCCUAACACAUGCAAGUCGAGCGAAGCCUUCGGGCUUAGCGGCGGACGGGUGAGUAACGCGUGGGAACGUGCCCUUUGGUACGGAAUAGCCCCGGGAAACUGGGAGUAAUACCGUAUGUGUCCUUCGGGGGAAAGAUCUAUCGCCAAAGGAUCGGCCCGCGUUGGAUUAGGUAGUUGGUGGGGUAAUGGCCUACCAAGCCGACGAUCCAUAGCUGGUUUGAGAGGAUGAUCAGCCACACUGGGACUGAGACACGGCCCAGACUCCUACGGGAGGCAGCAGUGGGGAAUCUUAGACAAUGGGGGAAACCCUGAUCUAGCCAUGCCGCGUGAUCGAUGAAGGCCUUAGGGUUGUAAAGAUCUUUCAGUGGGGAAGAUAAUGACUGUACCCACAGAAGAAGCCCCGGCUAACUCCGCGCCAGCCGCCGCCGUAAUAC
rnacentral:rRNA from 1 species